UGUUGUUGGGUUAGGUAACUGCAGUAACCUCUUAGUUUAACUUCAUUUUAAUGAUUAUAUUUUUCAACAGUUAUCUGAUUUGUCCACCUACAGGAUAUUAUUUUCAAUGAUGCAGCGCGUGCUUAACUUUAGUAGCUCCUCGGUGUAUCGACAAAGAUACAAUUUUUACAUUUUACAAGCAUUUUAACAUUGAGAAAUUUUUGUUUAGUGGAGUUAGCCUGUGAUUCUUUAGAUUAAAUUGUGUUUUUUAAGGUUACUGUUGUGUAAUUUAACUGAUAGACUUAUAUGCUAUUUGUUUUUCUCCCCAUUCUAAAGAAUAUUGAGAGCUUAAAGGACUUGUUUAGACUAGUUUCCUGCCCUAGUUUGAACAAGGUGGAUGUAUUUUGUUGUUUGCAUGGUACAAGUUUCCGAGGAUUUUGCUGAGUAGCACUUUACAAACCAGAAUCUACCAAACACAAGUAUGUAAAACUUGAUCGGCACGGUCUUCGCUGAUGACUUUAUAUCUCGUCAGAAGGCAUUAGAGUCAGAAAAGACUUCUGGGCUGAAGAUUCAGAAGAGCCAAAUGUUGGAUAUUCACCAGUUGCCCUGUUAACAGCAGUCAGAGAACUUACAGAUGCUGCAAUUCACUACAAUCUGAUCAGAAAUUUCAUUGUUCUUCAAAGUGAAGUCAUCACCCAUCUGCCAGGCUUUUCAGAUUUCUUUUUACAUUUGGACUGAUAUAUGCAUUGGAUCUGAGUUACCCAAAAGAGUUUUAAAGACAGGUUGCUUUAUAAGGUUUUAACGUUGAAGGAUGUGCAGCACUAAUGUAGCUGUAGACAAUUUAUCUUGUCGCUGUCAAAUGUGUUUAUUUUUUGUUUUUUUCAGUGUUGUGCCUUAUGUUUUGUCAAUAAUUGUACCUUGUCUUUUUAUAUUAAAUAUGUUUACUACAAUAAGCAGUUUGCUUUUUUAAAUAGUUUUUUUUAUGUUUAAGUUGCAACAUUUUCACAUUUAAG